AUAGAUAUAUAGUUGUAAUAGUACCAACAUUUGUUUCAUAGUUAUUAGAUUGUGUUUUUUCGUCUAGUUAGGUUUAAAGAUUACACACUCGUUUACUGUAUUGUUAGAGCGGUGAUUGUGUGCUUAGUUAUUAGCUUUUGUUUCUAUUCAAGAGCGUAGGGUUCAAUUUGAGUAGACUGAAAGGCUCUGCUAUUGUCUACUGGAAGGCUCUGCUACUGUUGCCGAUUAUUAGGAAGCUGCUACUGUUACUGUUGAUGCUACUGCUUAUUAAAACGUAUUUCUACUGGCUGCUACUGUUAACCACAGAGCUGCUACUGCCGACUGAGAUCCAAAUCUACUUUCCUCCCUUACCUUUCUUAGUAUACUUCAACAGUGGAAUAACACCACCAAAGCACCUCCAGUAGCAAUAACUUCAUUCCUCCACACAUUAAUUAACCAUACAAUCAUAGCACCCAAAUGAAUUCAAUUAUCAACAAUUAUAAAACCAAACUGAAAAUGAACAUCCACCUGUAGAUCUAUCCCUGCAAUCAUCGACAUCCACAACCUCCAGAACAUCGUCGUAACUAAGAUCUACAAGCACGCCUAUGUCACCCAAUGCUCGAUCGAGCAUGGAUAACUCGAAGCAUUCGAGAGCGACAAUUCAUGGCCUUUGAAGUGGUUGAUCUCCUUGAGAAAAUGCGAUCCGCCGCACCAGAUCGGUGAAGCAUCAACGACAUCGUUGAUGAGUUGCAGAAGCUCUGAUUUGC